rnacentral:rRNA from 1 species
UACGUAGGGGGCUAGCGUUGUCCGGAUUCACUGGGCGUAAAGGGCGUGUAGGCGGCCAGGUAAGUCCGUUCUGAAAGCCCGGGGCUCAACCCCGGGAGGCGGAUGGAUACUGCUUGGCUCGAGUCCGGAAGAGGCGAGUGGAAUUCCCGGUGUAGCGGUGAAAUGCGCAGAUAUCGGGAGGAACACCAAUGGCGAAGGCAGCUCGCUGGGACGGUACUGACGCUGAGACGCGAA